UUCAGUAAUGUGUAAUUUGGUGUUCUUUUAUAUCUUCUGUACAGAUGCUAUUCAGUACAACCUUGAUGUGCACCUUGACUUACAUGGAUAAUCUUGUACGUAAUUCCCUCUUUUAUUGAUGUGUGGUUUCAUCUGUGUGAUUAAUUCCAUCUCUUUUUACUUUUUCAUGUUAGGUACUACAUGUACUUUUUGUGAUUUCAAGGGUAAAUUACUAGCCAAUUUUGGUACUAGCCAAAUCAAAGAUUUAUGUCCUAAAAAAGAUUUGCUCAGCUUCAUGCAAUUGAAUUGUUAUCGCAUAUUUACGAGCAAGCUCAUAUUUAUAUCUCCAUGAUCUCUUAACAGCGAGAAAAGGAAAGAUAACGUGAACAUCCAGUGAGCACUACUGAUGCCAUCAUGGAAAACUCACUGCUCUUGUUUAAUUUUGUUUAUGUAGUCAACAUUUUGAUCAAAGGAUUCUCACGUGUUAGAAAACUGUACUCACAUAAAUCUGAGUAUUGGUCUAUGGAACUGGAGGUAGUGAGUUUCAGUUCUUAUGAAUUAAUGUUUCUUUAUUUAUUUAGAGCUUCUAUUCAGAUCAUUGACGUUUGCAUAUCCCUGUUUGUAGUAUCAUUUUGUGUCUCAUGUUAUGACUGACAUUUUUUUUCUCUACAACCUGUAAAUUUCGGAUUCAGUUUACUGAUCUCUGAAAGUCAUGUAUAACUUGGCAGAAAUGUUAUCCCUACAAAUUAGAACACCCUUAUUCUUUAUUUUGCAGCAACCAUGUUGACAAGCUGGCAUCUCUUUGUUCUAUUCUAUUGACUUCAUGUGGCAUUAUGUAUGAAGCACAAACCUUUCGACGCAAGGACCGUCAUGGGAUUUGGAGUGCUCAAUGGCAUCUUAAUUGGACUUCUCAAUCAGAGACUAGGUUUCAACUCUGUUGGUUUCCAUCAGGUAAGCAUUGUUCUCUUUUCUGUCUGAACUUACAGAAAAUGAAUAGUCAAUUCUUUUUGGUGCUGGAGUUGCAACCGUGACUGAAAUCCUAAUUUCUAAAAAUAAGGUUGAACCAUGUAUAUAUUUGUAGAGCAAGUCGAGCGCAUUAGUUGGAUCCAGCUUCUUGAUAUUGCAGAGGACUCGUCAAAAGGUUAGCACUUAUUCUAUAAUGUGGAUCACAUAAAAAAUAGAAAUUUUAGUUUCUGAAAAUAGAUUGAACCAUUUAUAUAUUUUUGGAUAACAAUUUACCUCUAAUGUCUACGUAUAGAAUAAGUGUCACUACAGCACAAGGAUAACCUGUUUAAUGAUGAGAUGAUCUGUUUUCUACAGCUUGAAUUGGCAAAAAAAUUGUAAUCAAUAUAUGUCCCUACAUCUUAACAAGUCAUCCAUUAAUCACACAUAUCCUUUUUAUGUGCUGGAGUUUUCUCUAGGUCACUGUACAAAAUAGGCAUCAAUGCACUUUCAAACAGUACACUCACACUCAUGAUUCUAUCUUCUUUAAUACCUACUUUAUGAUUUUGACAGUUUAUUACAUAUGUUCUGUGCAAUUGUCAACUUCUAUAAUUCAAAGUUAAUUGUAUUUGUUGUGUUUUGGCUGCUCUAACAGAUAUACAGGGUUCUCGACUGGCUGGGAAGACUUGACAAGAGGCACAUGUAAAAUAUAUAAUCUCUUGUGACUCUCAAGAUAUGUAUCCAGAGGCAAGUCAGGUCUCGGAAUGCUGACUGAAUAUUCCAUGGCCUUUGUUUUUCUUGCUAGGUGGAUUACUACUUCCUUGGAUGUUUUCAUGUUAUUAUUUCCUUGCUCCCCUUUGCAGGGAAGCAUUCUCAUCUUUCGUGUCACUUGCGUAAGAUACAACAUGCUAAUGCUAUCUUGGUUUGGUUUGCUCUUGCAGAAAAUAAGUGAAAUGUGCAGACCGACAACAUGGACGGCAGGUCUUGCGGCUCUCAGCGCCCUCAACCCCCCACUGACCUCAAUUUUGAUCUCUCCUCUACUCUUCUGGUGAGUGGGAGCAGCAUGUGGAUAUAUUGAACUAUAUAUUAGCUUUUGAUUGGUUCCCAUGAAGUACUUUGGAAUUCAUUAUAUAGUUGUGUCAGUGAAGAUGUCGUAGAUUUGUUAAUAUAGAGAACACAAAAUUUUCAUCUAUAUCUGUUGACCUUGUGUGCCAUAGGUAAACAUAUUUUCCUAUCUAUUUCUAUUCUUCAGCCUCUUUAUAUUUCAGGGUGGUGGUGAGAGCGGGUGUGAACCGGGAAAGGCGGCCAUAGGAGAUAUAUGAUAGGAAAAGAAUUGCUCUAUGGCGCAAAGGGCGAGAGGGAGCCAACUAUGAUAGGAAAAGAGGAUGCAUGUAGGUAAUCGCAGGGUGGAUGCUUAAUGUUGCUUAUUCAGCAGGGGCUAUCAACCUGUGAUUAUCUACAUGGUAUAUCUAGCCCAUCAAGGUCCUGCACAUGGUAUAUAUAGCCCAUCAAGGUCCUCCAUGGUAUAUCUUUCUACACCACUCUUUGGCGCCGCCCAGAUCUGCAGCUCAGAUUUCCUUGUCUUUGGCUGACCAUCCCUUUCUUUUGCAAGGCCAUCGACUUGCUUUCUGCUCGGGCAGGAUUAGAUGCAACCUCCUGUUUGUGAUGCAGUGCCCCAAAGGUAUCCUUCUCUCUGUCGCAAUUCUAAUUCUCCGCGAUCGCCAUCCACAUAUGCCUGCGAUUACCU
rnacentral:lncRNA from 1 species